GCCUGCCCAGUGAUUAAACGGCCGCGGUAUCCUAACCGUGCAAAGGUAGCGUAAUAACUUGUCUUUUAAAUAAAGACUAGAAUGAAUGGCCAAACGAGGCUCUACCUGUCUCUUACAAAUAAUCAGUGAAAUUGAUCUUCCCGUGCAAAAGCAGGAAUAAUAUUAUAAGACGAGAAGACCCUGUGGAACUUCAAAUAUAUACCAAAUAUUUUCGGUUGGGGCGACCUCGGAACAAAACAAAACCUCCGAAAAAAGAACACCUAGAGCCACAAUUCAAAGAAGCGAUCCAAUACAUUUGAUCAACGAACCAAGCUACCCCAGGGAUAACAGCGCAAUCCCAUCCUAGAGUCCCUAUCAACGAUGGGGUUUACGACCUCGAUGUUGGAUCAGGACAUCCUGAUGGUGCAACCGCUAUCAAGGGUUCGUUUGUUCAACGAUUAAAGUCCUAC
rnacentral:rRNA from 1 species